rnacentral:SRP_RNA from 1 species
GCUGAGCUCAGUAACGUGGGCUUGUAACCCAAGUGGGGGCUUUGAGGUGUUGGGACGUUGUUUGAGCCCUUAUGGCAGGAUCAGGCUUGGCUAAUUUCUGGCUUGCCCGUUCCAAGCUGAGAGUUAAACCAUGGGACCUGGGCGAAGGCUUGGGUCUCCUAGUUCCUAGAGCAGGGUGUAAUGCGUGAGGCUGGCUUCACAGAGCUGCGAUUACCUCUCGCUCCCAGCAGUGGAAGGAUAACAGGUUGGUGCCAUCCUGGUCCAUAUGGCUAGAUGGGCUGUGCUAACUGGACCAUCACUUUU